rnacentral:ribozyme from 1 species
AAAAAGAAAAAAAAGAAAAAGAGAAAAGAGGGAGAAGGAGGAAAAUGGGGAAAGAAGUUACACGCUCUUCUUCUCUGGAACCUGAACAAGCUCCCCCAGAAUCUUCCCCUUUUUCUUCUUCCGCUUCUCCUUUUUCUUCUUCGUCUUCUUCCUCUUUUUCUGCUUCUGCUUCUGCUUCUGCUUCCAAGAAAAGGAAAGAAAAAAGAAAGAGUUUA